ACUCCUACGGGAGGCAGCAGUAGGGAAUAUUGGACAAUGGGCGAAAGCCUGAUCCAGCAAUGCCGCGUGAGUGAUGAAGGCCUUAGGGUUGUAAAGCUCUUUUACCCGGGAUGAUAAUGACAGUACCGGGAGAAUAAGCUCCGGCUAACUCCGUGCCAGCAGCCGCGGUAAUACGGAGGGAGCUAGCGUUGUUCGGAAUUACUGGGCGUAAAGCGCACGUAGGCGGCUAUUCAAGUCAGAGGUGAAAGCCCGGGGCUCAACCCCGGAACUGCCUUUGAAACUAGAUAGCUUGAAUCCAGGAGAGGUGAGUGGAAUUCCGAGUGUAGAGGUGAAAUUCGUAGAUAUUCGGAAGAACACCAGUGGCGAAGGCGGCUCACUGGACUGGUAUUGACGCUGAGGUGCGAAAGCGUGGGAGCAAACAGGAUUAGAUACCCUGGUAGGAUAGCG
rnacentral:rRNA from 1 species